rnacentral:rRNA from 1 species
AAAAUUGCAUGGAGCCACCGCUGCGAUCCUAACCGUCAAAAAAUACAAUCCUACGGCAGUCAGUGCAGAUGGCCUGGAUAGUCUACGAUACAAUCCUACGCAGUCAUGCCAUACACACUUGCCGGCGAAUCACGAAUCCCGUCCCAAGUUCAGUACUCGCAUAGCCUUCUUCCCACCGAGCAGCCCCUCACGAACCCUAGCUUGCUAUAAACCCUACUCCUUCCCUUCCCCGAUGGAUCCGCAGCAGCCGGAGCCUGUCAGCUAUCUGUGCGGAGAUUGCGGAGCUGAGAACACACUCAAGACAGGGGAUGUGAUCCAGUGCCGUGAAUGUGGUUACCGCAUCCUGUACAAGAAGUGCACCCGUCGGAUUGUUCAAUAUGAAGCUCGCUGAAGACAAGGAACAAACAUCAUUCACUGUUAAGUGUGUGCCCUGAGACAAAGCUACUACAAUGGAGAAAUGUAUUAGGCAGUACUCGCUCAUAGGUAGUAAUCUUUCCAUUGGACUUUGGCUUGAAGUGGUAAAAACUUGUCAAACCUGUAUUGAGAUUUUAGACAUUUGAGGAUUGAGAUUAUGCAUCUUUGAAAGCUAGAUUUUAAAAAAUGGUUAUUAUUGUUGUCGCCAGGAAUAAGGUGCCCUGUUGGUUGCACGCAGGCUCUGGCUGUUAUUUGCUGCCUGUAUCGUUAUUACUACCUCUGUAACUAUUUUAAGACGUUUUUGUAGUUAAAAUUGAACUGUAAAAAUGUCUUAUAUUUAGUUAUGAAGGUAGUACCUUAAUUCUCCUGCCAUGCUCUUUAAUUGUGCUAAACUGAGCUUUGUAAUGUUUUGUGCAAUUAAGGAACCUCUUUCCAUUACGUCAUUGUCAUAUUUGGGGGGUAUGCCUGGCGCAUAGUAGAGAAUAUGUUUCA